rnacentral:rRNA from 1 species
AGUAACGCGUGAGGAACCUGCCUCAAAGAGGGGGACAACAGUUGGAAACGACUGCUAAUACCGCAUAAGCCCACAGCUCGGCAUCGAGCAGAGGGAAAAGGAGUGAUCCGCUUUGAGAUGGCCUCGCGUCCGAUUAGCUGGUUGGUGAGGUAGCGGCCCACCAAGGCGACGAUCGGUAGCCGGACUGGGAGGUUGAACGGCCACAUUGGGACUGAGACACGGCCCAG